rnacentral:rRNA from 1 species
AUGUGUGAGAAAUUCCAUCAGAUUGUUGCUGAUCAUUGGUGGGGUAGAGAAGAUGGAAAGAAAAAGUUACAUUGGCGUUCGUGGGAGUGGCUCACGACUCCCAAGUCUCCUGGGGGCAUGGGCUUCCAUGACAUGGCUCUCUUUAAUCAGACCAUGCUGGGGAGGCAAGUGUGGCGGCUUCUUACUUCCGCGGACUCCCUUUGCGCGCGGGUGCUUAAGGGCCGGUAUUUUCCUGAUGGAGAUUUUUGGCAUGCUCAAGCUCCGCGCGCUGCUUCCUUUACGUGGCGAAGUAUUCUCUUCGGCCAUGUCCUGCUGAAACAUGGCAUCACUUGGGGUAUUGGCGAGGCCCGCUAG